rnacentral:pre_miRNA from 1 species
UUUGGGGGGGUGUCCCUCAGCCCAGAUUGCGAGUGGGCACAGGCCAGGCCGAGGGACCCCAUUGGUGCAGG